GCAGCCGCCGCGGUAAUACGUAGGGUGCAAGCGUUAAUCGGAAUUACUGGGCGUAAAGCGUGCGCAGGCGGUUAUAUAAGACAGAUGUGAAAUCCCCGGGCUCAACCUGGGAACUGCAUUUGUGACUGUAUAGCUAGAGUACGGCAGAGGGGGAUGGAAUUCCGCGUGUAGCAGUGAAAUGCGUAGAUAUGCGGAGGAACACCGAUGGCGAAGGCAAUCCCCUGGGCCUGUACUGACGCUCAUGCACGAAAGCGUGGGGAGCAAACAGGAUUAGAUACCCCCGUAGUCCCUGUCUCUUAUAC
rnacentral:rRNA from 1 species